UGAUGAUGGUGAGGAUAAUUAAUGGGUAAAGAUUUAUACCUGUCCCAUGAUUGGUACAAAUUCUCUCCAGAUUUUUGUUUAAAGCUUAAAAUUUCAUUCCUCAACUU